ARGUCGUAACAAGGUUUCCGUAGGUGAACCUGCGGAAGGAUCAUUG
rnacentral:rRNA from 1 species